GAUGACGUAAUUCUUUUAUUUUUAUCGCAGUGACCUCAUCUCUUAUGGCAGCAGCAGCAGCAGCAGCAGCGGCGGCGGCAGAGAGUCACCCUCCGCUGCCUUUAGUCUCCAACUUUACCAGCUUCUACUUUCUGUCUUUAACCCUCCAAACCGACAACAAACCCCGGGUCCGACUCGGUCCAGAACCCGCGACGAGCCGUUUGGACCUGUGACGUCGAGUUUUCAAACGAGUGAGACCUCUUCAAGAAGAUGAGGAUGAAGGUGCAGAGUGAUGUCAUCAGCGCUCAGUCGGGAGAAAAGACGCUUUUUGUUUCAUGCCGGCUGUGGUGUGAAUGAGACCGACCCCCUCCCCCCCCUUCAAAAGACUCACACACACACACACACACACACACACACACACACACACA